GGCUCAGAUUGAACGCUGGCGGCAUGCUUUACACAUGCAAGUCGAACGGUAACAGGUUAAGCUGACGAGUGGCGAACGGGUGAGUAAUGCAUCGGAACGUGCCCGAUCGUGGGGGAUAACGCAGCGAAAGCUGCGCUAAUACCGCAUACGAUCUGAGGAUGAAAGCGGGGGAUCGCAAGACCUCGCGCGAUUGGAGCGGCCGAUAUCAGAUUAGGUAGUUGGUAGGGUAAAGGCCUACCAAGCCAACGAUCUGUAGCUGGUCUGAGAGGACGACCAGCCACACUGGAACUGAGACACGGUCCAGACUCCUACGGGAGGCAGCAGUGGGGAAUUUUGGACAAUGGGCGAAAGCCUGAUCCAGCCAUUCCGCGUGCAGGAUGAAGGCCCUCGGGUUGUAAACUGCUUUUGUACAGAACGAAAAGGUUUCUAUUAAUACUAGGAGCUCAUGACGGUACUGUAAGAAUAAGCACCGGCUAACUACGUG
rnacentral:rRNA from 1 species